UACGAGGGGAGCAAGCGUUGUUCGGAUUUACUGGGCGUAAAGGGCGCGUAGGCGGCGUGACUAGUCACUUGUGAAAUCUCCGGGCUUAACUCGGAACGGUCAAGUGAUACUGUCGUGCUAGAGUACAGAAGGGGCAAGCUGGAAUUCUCGGUGUAGCGGUGAAAUGCGUAGAUAUCGAGAGGAACACCUGCGGCGAAGGCGGGUUGCUGGGCUGAUACUGACGCUGAUGCGCGAAAGCCAGGGAGCGAACGGG
rnacentral:rRNA from 1 species